rnacentral:rRNA from 1 species
AUGAACGCUGGCGGCGUGCCUAAUACAUGCCGGUCGAGCGCACGGACGAGAAGCUUGCUUUUCUGAUGUUAGCGGCGGACGGGUGAGUAACACGUGGAUAACCUACCUAUAAGACUGGGAUAACUUCGGGAAACCGGAGCUAAUACCGGAUAAUAUUUUGAACCGCAUGGUUCAAAAGUGAAAGACGGUCUUGCUGUCACUUAUAGAUGGAUCCGCGCUGCAUUAGCUAGUUGGUAAGGUAACGGCUUACCAAGGCAACGAUGCAUAGCCGACCUGAGAGGGUGAUCGGCCACACUGGAACUGAGACACGGUCCAGACUCCUACGGGAGGCAGCAGUAGGGAAUCUUCCGCAAUGGGCGAAAGCCUGACGGAGCAACGCCGCGUGAGUGAUGAAGGUCUUCGGAUCGUAAAACUCUGUUAUUAGGGAAGAACAUAUGUGUAAGUAACUGUGCACAUCUUGACGGUACCUAAUCAGAAAGCCACGGCUAACUACGUG